rnacentral:tRNA from 1 species
GAGGGUAUAGCUCAGUGGUAGAGUGCGUGCUUAGCAUGCACAAGGUCCUGGGUUCAAUCCUCAGUACCUCCA